GGGCGUGGUGGCUCACGCCUGUAAUCCCAGCACUCUGGGAGGCUGAGGCAGGUGGAUCACCUGAGGUCAGAAAAACUCGUGGUUGGACAUAGUGGCUCAUGCCUGUAAUCUCAACAAUUUGGGAGGCUGAAGUAGGAGGAUCAUUUGAGCCCAGGAGUUCAAGACCAGCCUGGGCAACAUAGGGAGACACGGUCCUACAAAAAAUUUAAAAAUUAGCUGGGUGUGGUGGUGUGCACCUGUAGUUCCAGCUACUUGGGAGGCUGAGGAGGGAGGAUCACUUGAGCCCAGGAGGUUGAGGCUGCAGUGAGCAGUGAUAGCACCACUGCACUCCAGCCUGGGUGACACAAUGAGACCCUGUCUCAAAAAAAAAAAACAGGAAGAAACCUCCCCCAAAACUUGUGGGAUACAACUAAAGCAGUCUUAGAGAGAAGUUUAUAGCACUUAAUGCUUAUAUUAAAAAUGAAGAAAUGGCCAGAUGUGGUGGCUCAAGCCUGUAAUCCCAGCACUUUGGGAGGCUGAGGUGGGUGAAUCAUUUGAUGGAAGUUCAAGACCAGCCUGGCCAACAUGGUGAAACCUUGUCUCUACUAAAAAUACAAAAAUUAGCCAGGUGUGGUGGUGCACACUUGUAACCCCAGCUACUUGGGAGGCUGAGGCACAAAAAUCGCUUGAACCUGGAAGGCAGAGGUUGCAGUGAGCCGAGAUGGCACCACUGCACUCUAGCCUGGAUGACAGAGCGAGACUCUGUCUCAAAAAAACAAAAAAAUGAAGGAAAAGUCUCAAAUUACUAAACAAGGCAUUCCCUCAAGAAACUAGAAAAAGCUAAGUAAACUCAAAUCAAGCAGAAGGAAAGAAAUCAUAAAGAGGUGGAGAAAUCAAUUACAUAGAAAACAGAAAAGCAAUAAAGACAAUAAAAUCAAAAGCUGGUUCUUUGAAAAGAUGAAUAAAAUUGAUAAACUUUUAGCAAGACAGAAGAAGAGAAAAGAGAGAAGACACAAAUGACCACUAUCACUACAGACCUCAUGGACGUUAAAAGAAUAAUAAGGGAAUACUGUGAAUGAGUCUAUGCAUAUAAACUCAACUUAGACAAUAUGGACAAAUUGCUCAAAGACCGCAAAGUGCUGUAAUCCUAGCACUUUAGGAGGCCAAGGCGGGAGGAUCGCUUGGCCAAAGCUCACCUAAGAUGAAAUAGAUAUUAUGAGUAGUCUUAUAACUAUUUAAAAAACUUGAUCUCUAAUUAAAAGGCUCCCAAGAAGGAAAUCUUUGUGUCCAGAUGUUUUCACUGUAGAAAUCUAGCAAACAUUUAAAGAAGAAUUGAUACCAAUUCUUUAGUAUCGCUUCCAGAAAACAGAAGAGGAAGCAAUACUUUUCAUUUCAUUUUAUAAAGUCAGCAUUAUCCUGAUUCCAAAACCAGACAAAGGCAGAAUGAAAACAAAUAAAGAAAAAGAGAAGCUAUAGACCAGUAUUUUCCUUUUCUUUUCUUAUCUUUUUUUUUUUUUUUGAGACAAGGUUUCACUCUUUUACCCAGGCUGGGUGCAGUGGCAUGAUCACAGCUUGCUGCAGCCUCAACCUCCUGGGCUCAGGUGAUCCUCCCACCUCAGCCUCCUGGGUAGCUGGGACUACAGGUGCCCACCACCAUGCCUGGCUAAUUUCUGGAUUUUUUUGUAGAGACAAAAUUUCGCCAUGUUGCCCAGGCUACUCUUGAACACCUGGGCUCAAGCGAUCCUCCCGCCUUGGCCUCCUAAAGUGCUAGGAUUACAGGCAUGAGCCACAGUGCCCAGUUUAGACCAAUAUUUUUUAUGAAUGUACAUACAAAAAAAGCAAAUCUUAUACAGCAAUAAAAAAUAUGUAAAAAUAAAUAUGUUGCCAUAUGAAUUGAACAAGGACUUCGGGAGGCCAAGGUGGGCAGAUCAUUUGAGGUCAGAAGUUCGAGACCAGGCUGGCCAACACGGAGAAACCCCAUCUCUACUAAAAAUACAAAAAUUAGCAGGGCGUGGUGGU
rnacentral:lncRNA from 1 species